UGGGGAAUAUUGCACAAUGGGCGCAAGCCUGAUGCAGCCAUGCCGNGUGUGUGAAGAAGGCCUUCGGGUUGUAAAGCACUUUCAGCGAGGAGGAAGGUGGUGAACUUAAUACGUUCAUCAAUUGACGUUACUCGCAGAAGAAGCACCGGCUAACUCCGUGCCAGCAGCCGCGGUAAUACGGAGGGUGCAAGCGUUAAUCGGAAUUACUGGGCGUAAAGCGCACGCAGGCGGUUUGUUAAGUCAGAUGUGAAAUCCCCGGGCUCAACCUGGGAACUGCAUUUGAAACUGGCAAGCUAGAGUCUCGUAGAGGGGGGUAGAAUUCCAGGUGUAGCGGUGAAAUGCGUAGAGAUCUGGAGGAAUACCGGUGGCGAAGGCGGCCCCCCUGGACGAAGACUGACGCUCAGGUGCGAAAGCGUGGGGCAGCAAACAGGAUUAGAUACCCUGGUAGUCCACGCUGUAAACGAUGUCGAUUUGGAGGUUGUGCCCUUGAGGCGUGGCUUCCGGAGCUAACG
rnacentral:rRNA from 1 species